UGAGCCACUGUGCCUGGCCCAGAGUAGUACUUUUUUUUUUUUGAGAAGGAGCCUCGCUCAGCCUCCCAACGUGCUGGUAUUACGGCAUGAGCGACUGCACCCAGCCGUAGAGUGGUACUUCUGAUUGAGCCACAAGAUGUUUUAAUGUUGUAGCAAAGACCAAUGAGUCAUGCAAACCAUGGGAGGCCUUGGGAAGCCAAUACAUCUGAUUAUAGAUGAUUAUUGAAAAGGCUUUGGGCCAGGCGCAGUGGCUCAAACCUGUUCACUUUGGGAGGCCAAAGCGAGUGGAUC